UACAGAGGGUGCAAGCGUUAAUCGGCAUUACUGGGCGUAAAGCGCGCGUAGGUGGUUAGUUAAGUUGGAUGUGAAAUCCCCGGGCUCAACCUGGGAACUGCAUUCAAAACUGACAAGCUAGAGUAUGGUAGAGGGUGGUGGAAUUUCCUGUGUAGCGGUGAAAUGCGUAGAUAUAGGAAGGAACACCAGUGGCGAAGGCGACCACCUGGACUGAUACUGACACUGAGGUGCGAAAGCGUGGGGAGCAAACAGG
rnacentral:rRNA from 1 species